rnacentral:snRNA from 1 species
GUGCUUGAUUCGGCAGCUUAUCUACUAGCAUUGGAAUGAUACAAAGAUUAGAGUGUCCCCUGCACAAGGAUGACACGCAAAUUCGUGAAGUGUCCCAUACUUAA